AGAAAGUGUGUUAUCCCAGCCCGGCCCGCCAAUCUGAGCUGGUGAGUCGUGGUGUUCGCGAACGUCCGCUGACUGCACCCAGCUACCUGUCAGACCCAGCCGAGACAAGCAGCGACUGGCAGCGCAACAACAUUUUGCUUCAAAACCCCAACCCUCUCUCUCUAUGUCUUCGCCAACAGACACACACUCUCUCUCUAAAAUCAUAACUAUGAACGACAACGAAACAGAGUCCGAUGGAGAGAUUAGGGCUUCCGUCGAACCCGCUUCGGAGGAAGCUCCAUCCAGCCCCGGUAGCAGCGGGUACGUCGGCGAAGGAGGCAGCACCAGCGCAACCACCGGUUCGCAAUUCGAAAUUGAGCACGAAGAAAUAGAAGAGGACACGACGAUUCAUAUGGACAGAAUCUCGAUUUCCGAUUCCCACGCCUCGUGGAUUCCCGGCAAACGGCACUUCGAUGAGGAUGAUGGCUCUAUAUCAUGGAGGAAGAGGAAGAAACAUUUUUUCGUUCUCAGUCAUUCCGGCAAACCUAUAUAUUCCAGGUAUGGAGAUGAACACAGACUUGCAGGGUUUUCAGCAACUUUGCAAGCAAUCAUUUCCUUUGUUGAGAACGGGGGCGACUCUGUCAAAUUGGUGAGGGCUGGAAGGCAUCAGGUGAUUUUUCUAGUGAAAGGACCAAUUUACUUAGUCUGCAUCAGCUCCACAGAAGAACCUUACGCUUCAUUAAGGGGGCAGUUAGAGCUAAUUUAUGGCCAGAUGCUUGUUAUACUAACAAAAUCAAUAAAUAGAUGUUUUGAGAAGAACCCAAAGUUUGAUAUGACACCCUUGCUUGGUGGAACAGAAAUUGUCUUCUCUUCUCUAAUACACUCUUUCAGCUGGAACCCAGCUACAUUUCUUCAUGCCUAUACUUGUCUCCCUCUUGCAUAUGCAACAAGGCAAGCUGCAGGAGCUAUUUUGCAAGAUGUUGCUGAUUCGGGUGUUCUGUUUGCAAUACUGAUGUGCAGGCACAAGGUAAUCAGUCUCGUUGGUGCUCAGAAAGCUUCCCUUCAUCCAGAUGAUAUACUGCUUUUGGCCAACUUUGUCAUGGCAUCUGAAUCCUUCAGGACAUCAGAAUCAUUUUCUCCAAUUUGCUUGCCAAGAUAUAACCCUUCAGCAUUUUUGUAUUCAUAUAUCCAUUACUUCGAUGCUGACACAUACUUGGUGUUACUAUCCACUAAUUCUGAUGCAUUUUAUCAUCUUAAAGAUUGCAGGAUUCGUGUUGAAAAUGUUCUUUUGAAGUCAUGUGUCCUUAGUGAAGUUCAGAGAUCCUUGUUAAACGGGGGAAUGCAUGUUGAAGAUCUGCCACCUAUAUCUCAUUCUGGAUCAUCUCAUUUGGGCCAGCACAUGCUUCCAUCAGAUUCUCCUGACAGAUUUAGGGAAGCUAAUUCUGGCAUUGGGGGUCCUGCUGGGUUGUGGCAUUUCAUAUACCGCAGUAUAUAUCUUGACCAGUAUGUCUCCUCGGAGUUCCCACCAUCAAUCAAUACGCCUCAGCUGCAAAAAAGACUGUAUAGAGCUUACGAGAAACUUUUUGCAUCCAUGCAUGAUAAAGGAAUUGGGCCACACAAAACUCAAUUCAGAAGAGAUGAAAACUACGUUCUUCUCUGUUGGGUGACACAGGAUUUUGAGCUCUAUGCUGCCUUUGAUCCCCUUGCAGACAAGGCCUUGGCAAUCAAGACGUGCAACCAUGUUUGUCAGUGGAUAAAAGAUGUGGAAAAUGAAAUAUUUUUGCUAGGAGCUAGCCCCUUUUCAUGGUGAUUUCCUUGCAAAUGCUGUAAACAUUUGCAGACACCACUGUGUUAAUCGGAUCAAGAAGUAUUUGGGUGACAAAAAGAAAAAAGAAUGGACUUUUAGAAAGUGGGGUUCCUUUACUUUCUUUGGGCUUCUUCUGUUCUUGCCAUUGGGGCUGUGGAGCUGGGUCGACAUUAACCUACUAAGAGAAUUUCAGGUUUGAAUGGAGGCAGCGCGUAGAGAUUGGAGAGGUUGAGGUUUUAGGGUUCUUCGUGAUUCUGUGAUGGUGAUGAAGGCUGCGAUUUGGGUUGCAGGUGAACUGCACGAGGAGGUGAUGGUUGCACGAGGUGAUGGCGACACUGUGCUAGGGUUUGGUGGCGGUGAUGCUGUGGUGAUGGCAGCGCUCGUGGUUCAUGGUGGAGCGAUAAGGUUGCUUGCGAUUCUGGGUGUUUAUGGUGGAUGUUGCGUCGCUCGCGACAUUGGCGACAAAAGAAGGAUACGCACUGGCCUGAUUCAUUGUGUGGGUGGUGGCGUGUGAUGGAGGAUGGUUGUCCAACGAGAUGAGCAUGGUGGUUGGCCGUGGCGGCGAGGAUGGUGGGGAAUGACACUGUUGCGGCGGCUAGCUUUACCUAAAAAAUUUCACGUAAUAUAAUACUGACACAUCAUCAUUUUAAGUGUGCACCACGUCAUUACAGUUAGACGGCGUCAGUGAUAACUUAACGGAGAGGGCUUAAUUGACUCAUUUUUACAAGUUUAUAGACUCGAUUUAGGCCGAAAAAAAAUACAAGGAUUCACUUGAGAUUGAUACACAAAUACGAAGAGCAAAUGAGGGUUUAAACCUAAUUUUAUUUAUCUUAUUUUAGUAUUGUAUUAUGAUUUUUAAGUUUAAUUGGUCAAUUUUCCAAAGUUAAGGUCCAGAAGUGAUUAUAAUAAUGAAAGUGUUUUUCCAACUUAAGAAAAAAAAAUGUCACUGGGUUAAAUGUUGAGCCAUCGUUAGUUUCUUCCUGCACUUUUAUAGCUUUCUUCCUGCAUUCCAUAUUUUUUUUUCCAUCAUCCCUUUU